GAUGAACGCUGACAGAAUGCUUAACACAUGCAAGUCCACUUGAAUUUGGGUUUUUAACUUAGGUUUGGGUGGCGGACGGGUGAGUAACGCGUAAAGAACUUGCCUCACAGCUAGGGACAACAUUUGUAAACGAAUGCUAAUACCUAAUAUUAUGAUAAUAGGGCAUCCUAUAAUUAUGAAAGCUAUAAGCGCUGUGAGAGAGCUUUGCGUCCCAUUAGCUAGUUGGAGAGGUAACGGCUCACCAAGGCGAUGAUGGGUAGCCGGCCUGAGAGGGUGAUCGGCCACAAGGGGACUGAGACACGGCCCUUACGCCUACGGGAGGCAGCAGUGGGGAAUAUUGGACGAUGGACCGAGAGUCUGAUCCAGCAAUUCUGUGUGCACGAUGAAGUUUUUCGGAAUGUAAAGUGCUUUCAGUUGGGAAGAAACAAAUGACGGUACCAACAGAAGAAGUGACGGCUAAAUACGUG
rnacentral:rRNA from 1 species